GCAGAGGGCCGGACGGCCGCGGGAAACCCUCGGGUUUCGUGAGGAAAGUCCGGACUCUACAAAACGACGGUGCCGGGUAAUGCCCGGGCAGAGCGAUCUGACGGAGAGCGCCACAGAAAACAGACCGCCCGCAGCCAUCUGCCUGUCAGAUGAUCCCUGUGGGUAAGGGUGAAACGGUGGGGUAAGAGCCCACCGCACCCCUGGCAACAGGGGUGGCACGGCAAGCCCCACCGGGAGCAAUGCCAAAUAGGACCCCCGCGCGGGAUGUCACGGCGAAAGCCGCGACCACCGCUAGGCAUGUUUUGGCCAAGAGGGGUCGGGUUGGCAGCUGGAGGUGCGCAGCAAUGCGCAUCCUAGACGAAUGGUCGUCGAAGGGGCCUUGGCCCUGGAACAAAAUCCGGCUUACAGGCCCUCUGCGCAA
rnacentral:RNase_P_RNA from 1 species